ACACCGGCGGCCCGAGUGGUGAUCGUGAUUAUUGGGUCUAAAGGGUCCGUAGCCGGUUUGGUCAGUCCUCCGGGAAAUCUGAUAGCUCAACUAUUAGGCUUUCGGGGGAUACUGCCAGACUUGGAACCGGGAGAGGUAAGAGGUACUACAGGGGUAGGAGUGAAAUCUUGUAAUCCCUGUGGGACCACCUGUGGCGAAGGCGUCUUACAAGAACGGGUUCGACGGUGAGGGACGAAAGCUGGGGGCACGAGCCGGAUUAGAUACCCGGGUAGUCCCAGCCGUAAACGAUGCUCGCUAGGUGUCAGGCAUGGCGCGACCGUGUCUGGUGCCGCAGGGAAGCCGUGAAGCGAGCCACCUGGGAAGUACGGUCGCAAGACUGAAACUCAAAUGAAUUGGCGGGG
rnacentral:rRNA from 1 species